rnacentral:snoRNA from 11 species
CACCCAUGAUGACUAGCCAUGCUAAUACCGAGCCACCGAGUGGAGCUGUCUGCUUUGAACUCGGGUGUCAGUGAGUUAAGCUUGCUUCUCACAGGAAGACCUGAGGUGU